rnacentral:rRNA from 1 species
UACGUAGGUGGCAAGCGUUGUCCGGAUUUACUGGGCGUAAAGAGCGCGCAGGCGGUUGAUUAAGUCGAAUGUGAAAGCCCCCGGCUCAACUGGGGAGGGUCAUUCGAUACUGAUCGACUGGAAGGCAGGAGAGGGAAGCGGAAUUCCCGGUGUAGUGGUGAAAUGCGUAGAUAUCGGGAGGAACACCAGUGGCGAAGGCGGCUUCCUGGCCUGUUCUUGACGCUGAGGCGCGAAAGCUAGGGGAGCAAACGGG